rnacentral:rRNA from 1 species
ACAAGCGGUGGAUGAUGUGGUUUAAUUCGAUGCAACGCGAAAACCUUACCCACCUUUGACAUGUACGGAAUCCUUUAGAGAUAGAGGAGUGCUCGAAAGAGAGCCGUAACACAGGUGCUGCAUGGCUGUCGUCAGCUCGUGUCGUGAGAUGUUGGGUUAAGUCCCGCAACGAGCGCAACCCUUGUCAUUAGUUGCUACAUUCAGUUGGGCACUCUAAUGAGAUUGCCGGUGACAAACCGGAGGAAGGUGGGGAUGACGUCAAGUCCUCAUGGCCCUUAUAGGUGGGGCUACACACGUCAUACAAUGGCUGGUACAAAGGGUUGCCAACCCGCGAGGGGGAGCCAAUCCCAUAAAGCCAGUCGUAGUCCGGAUCGUAGUCUGCAACUCGACUACGUGAAGUCGGAAUCGCUAGUAAUCGUGGAUCAGAAUGUCACGGUGAAUACGUUCCCGGGUCUU